rnacentral:tRNA from 1 species
GGAUGGGUGGCCGAGCGGUCGAAGGCGCGCGCCUGGAAAGUGCGUAGACGUGAAAGCGUCUCGUGGGUUCGAAUCCCACCCCAUCCGCCA